rnacentral:rRNA from 1 species
UACGUAGGGGGCAAGCGUUAUCCGGAUUUACUGGGUGUAAAGGGGGCGCAGACGGUGCAGCAAGUCAGAAGUGAAAGCCCGGGGCUCAACUCCGGGACUGCUUUUGAAACUGUUGAACUAGAUUGCAGGAGAGGUAAGUGGAAUUCCUAGUGUAGCGGUGAAAUGCGUAGAUAUUAGGAGGAACACCAGUGGCGAAGGCGGCUUACUGGACUGUAAAUGACGCUGAGGCUCGAAAGCGUGGGGAGCAAACAGG